AACGCUAGCUACAGGCUUAACACAUGCAAGUCGAGGGGCAGCAUGGUCUUAGCUUGCUAAGGCCGAUGGCGACCGGCGCACGGGUGAGUAACACGUAUCCAACCUGCCGUCUACUCUUGGACAGCCUUCUGAAAGGAAGAUUAAUACAAGAUGGCAUCAUGAGUCCGCAUGUUCACAUGAUUAAAGGUAUUCCGGUAGACGAUGGGGAUGCGUUCCAUUAGAUAGUAGGCGGGGUAACGGCCCACCUAGUCUUCGAUGGAUAGGGGUUCUGAGAGGAAGGUCCCCCACAUUGGAACUGAGACACGGUCCAAACUCCUACGGGAGGCAGCAGUGAGGAAUAUUGGUCAAUGGGCGAGAGCCUGAACCAGCCAAGUAGCGUGAAGGAUGACUGCCCUAUGGGUUGUAAACUUCUUUUAUAAAGGAAUAAAGUCGGGUAUGGAUACCCGUUUGCAUGUACUUUAUGAAUAAGGAUCGGCUAACUCCGUGCCAGCAGCCGCGGUAAUACGGAGGAUCCGAGCGUUAUCCGGAUUUAUUGGGUUUAAAGGGAGCGUAGAUGGAUGUUUAAGUCAGUUGUGAAAGUUUGCGGCUCAACCGUAAAAUUGCAGUUGAUACUGGAUAUCUUGAGUGCAGUUGAGGCAGGCGGAAUUCGUGGCGUAGCGGUGAAAUGCUUAGAUAUCACGAAGAACUCCGAUUG
rnacentral:rRNA from 1 species